GGCGGUGCCCGGAUCUUUUCCGCCGCCAUUUUCUGCCGGGCGCAGGUCUCCGCUGUCUCCGCCGCUCGCCCUCGCACCCCCGCCGCCCUCGCCCCGCCAUGGAGGACGCGACCGAGAUGAGCGGCGGCCAGGAGGAGUUCGCCGAGGGCUCCAAGAUCAACGCGAGCAAGAACCAGCAGGACGACGGGAAAAUGUUCAUCGGAGGCCUCAGCUGGGACACCAGCAAGAAGGACCUGACGGAGUAUCUCUCGCGUUUUGGCGAGGUUGUGGAUUGCACUAUCAAAACAGACCCGGUCACUGGAAGGUCGAGGGGGUUUGGGUUCGUGCUCUUCAAGGAUGCUGCCAGCGUGGAGAAGGUGUUGGAACUGAAGGAACACAAACUGGAUGGCAAGUUAAUAGAUCCUAAAAGGGCAAAAGCGCUGAAAGGGAAGGAGCCACCCAAAAAAGUGUUUGUUGGUGGGCUGAGUCCAGAUACAUCUGAAGAACAGAUUAAGGAGUACUUUGGUGCUUUUGGCGAGAUUGAAAACAUUGAACUUCCCAUGGACACAAAGACAAAUGAAAGGAGGGGCUUCUGUUUUAUCACCUACACAGACGAAGAGCCAGUAAAGAAGUUACUAGAGAGCAGAUACCACCAGAUUGGUUCAGGCAAGUGUGAAAUCAAAGUAGCACAGCCCAAAGAGGUGUACAGGCAGCAGCAGCAGCAGCAGAAAGGAGGGAAAAGCAAUUCUUCUGGUGGACGUGGAGGCGGAAGGGGGCGUGGACGGGGUCAGGGACAAAACUGGAACCAAGGAUUUAAUAACUACUAUGAUCAAGGCUACGGGAAUUACAAUAGCGCUUACAGUGAUCAGAGCUACAGUGGCUAUGGAGGCUACGACUACUCUGGGUACAACUAUCCCAACUACGGAUAUGGGCCAGGAUACACAGAUUACAGUGGCCAACAGAGCACGUAUGGGAAGGCGUCCCGUGGCGGCGGCAACCACCAAAACAACUACCAGCCCUACUAAGGCAGUACCUAGUACCUGACAAACAGGUGUGUACAGGAGCACAAGCUCCACUCCGACUGUGCCUAAUCUAAUUUAAAGAUCAAUAGACAAACGAAGAGUAAAAACUUGCCUAGCAUGACUUUUCCUUUAAUUAAGCUUUUGUUAACUUAAAAAAUACUUUUUUUUUAAAACCAGCUUUGCCUACGUGUCUAUAGAUCUUUAACUUUGUAAAAGUGUGACUUUAUCUUCUUUAGUACUUCAGAAAAACAUAAGAGUUUUUCUGGUUUGCGUUGUGUACCAGGUGGUCUAGAGGAAUAAUUAAACUUAUUAGAAGUAUUAACAGGUAAAGUACUGAAAUGGGUACAACUUAAGGAAAACAAGAAUGUUGUCUUCUAACUCUGACAUUAUACCUUGUUUGUACCCGCCAGCGGGAACUUCAUUGCAGGCCGUGUGUCACCCUGACCACGUCUAUCUCUGGGGUCGCACGUUGCAGGCAGAGCGCAAGGCAUACACCAGAAAACGCUGUCCUGUGGUAGAGAUACUGCAACAAAAAGCCAUCUUGCAACGCAUCGCGAGUGAAUGGAGGGUGGUCUUCGUGAGAGGAAAUGACUGUUUUGUAAAAGACUUUUAGUGAAUGACACAACUGUGUCCAACUGUACAUAGCAGCCGACUAGUUUUCUUUUAUGGUUUUUACUUUCUUUUUGCCAUUCAUGUUAUGACACAAUGUGGACUUGUGUUUAUACAAACUUUAUUUGUAUAAUUUCAUGUUAAAAGAUUCUCUAAUAAAUGCUUACUUAAGUGAG